UACUGUUGUUGAGGAUAAGAAACUACUGGUGAAGGAGAUCAAAACUUUGGCUGGCUCCAGGCAGGAAGUCUUCUUUUCUCACAUCUUUCGGGAAGCCAAUUGGGGAUGUUUUAUAGCCAAGGAAGCGUAUGGGAUGUCUGAAGAUUUUUCUCUCUUCUCUGUUAUUCCCAAUGUAUUUACCUGAUUCUGUUAGCAGACUCUGGGGAGUCUCGUUUUGUAGGGGUUCUUAGUUGGGGCUUCGGCCCUUUUGCUCACAAAAAAAAAAAAAAAAAAGAAACUACUGGGUGGGGCUUUUGGUGUUUCUGAAGUUGCGCUGAAAUAGAGACAAUCGGUUGGGGUUGGUAGUGUUGCGUUGCGUAUUUGUUAAAUUGAUGCAGCACGGUGCACGCUGCAGUGAAGUAAUCCCUUUUGGUGGUGUUGUGGGUAAUGCUUCUCAGCAAUUCUAGUCCACCAUUUUCAUUUGUCUCAGGAAUCACUAUGAGUACGACUACGGGAAUAACUCCAAGAGAUUCUCUUUUGCUUAAGCCCAACCCUUUAUCUUCUAUUAGUUCACUCCAUUGUCUCCAGCAUGGUAACAAUACGAUUAGAGUUCCUGUGACUAUAAGAAUUCAACCAGAGAGGUUUUGUCAUGGUGCGCUAACCAUCGGGAAUGAAGUGCCACAAAAUGCUGAUUUUCCUCGGCAGUAUUCCAGAAAAGAGAAGAAACCUUUUCCAGUUCCCAUUGUAGAACUGCGACGAGCAGGGAGAGGAUGAAGAUGAAAGAUGUGCCGAUAAAACAUGUCAGCACCUAAGAAUGGGUUGCUGGUGAAGAGCCUUAUACCGACUGCAUAUAAUGUGUAUAAUGCUACUAGGAUCACUUUGAUCAACAAUCUGAAGAAGCUGCUCAAAGUGGUGCCUGUGCAUGCUUGUGGGUGGUGCAGUGAAAUCCAUUUAGGAUCUGUUGGACAUUCAUUCAAGUCAUGUAAAGGCACACAGGCCAACAUCCGCUAGGGCCUCCACGAAUGGACGAAUGCACAUGUUGAAGACAUAUUAAUUCCAAUUGAAGCCUAUCACCUCUUUGAUCGUCUUGGAAAACGGAUUACUCAUGAAGAGAGAUUCUCUAUCCCUCGAAUUCCAGCAGUGGUUGAGCUCCGCAUUCAAGCCAGUGUUGAAAUUCCAGAGUUUCCCACCAAAAGGAGAAGAAAGCCUAUCAUCCGUAUUUGGAGGAAGGAAUUCAUUGAUGCUGAUGAAAGUAAUCUACCAGAUAAAAUCUCAGAGGGCCCUUUAAAACCAUUACUAGCUGAAAUACCUGAUUAAUGAAGUAUAGUCCCUCUUGCCGAGGAAACUCUCCAAGCAUGGAACGGGUGAGGAAAGGUGCGAAGAGACUAAUGAGGAUGUACAAUGUGAGGGUGUGUGGAUAUUGCCCUGAAAUUCAUGUUGGUGCCCAGGGUCUCAAAGCUAAAAACUGUGAAGCCCAUAAACACCAACAACGCAAUGGGCAGCAUGGUUGGCAGUCUGCAGUUCUGGAUGAUUUGAUCCCUCCAAGAUUUGUAUGGCAUGUUCCUGAUGUAAAUGCACUGCUAGAACGAGAGCUUAGGAAUUCUUAUGGCCAGGCGCAUGUAGAAGUGGAAAUGUGCAUUCAGGCUGGUGCUGCCUUACCAGAACAGUAUAAAUCGACCAUGCGGCUGGAUGUGGGGAUCCCAUCAACUUUGAAAGAAGCUGACAUGGUAGUUUGAGAUUAAUUUCCCUUAUAGACAAACCCCAACUUUUGAAUAUAGUGUAAAUUGUGUCAAACUGGAUGCAAUGAUAAUUUACUGAUUUAUUUAGGGACUAGAAUAAGCAUCACUUUGGUUAGUUCUAUUUGGGGGUAUAUAUGCCAUCUAGACAAACGCUGUCAUUUUCUAUCCUCUGCAUGCAGGCAAAAGAUAUAUAAAAUUGUCAGUGUAAGAUUGAUGUUGUAAAAAUUCUUAUUCAAGCUUAUUUGCAAUUUCUCUCAACUCAA